CUAUUUGAGAGAGAGAGAGAGGGGGAGGGAGAGAGAGAGAGAGUGAGAGAGAGAGAGAGAGAGAGAGAGAGAGGUGAGCAACAACUUUUUAAACAAAUAAAUAACUGAAGAUGAAAAAAUACAACAUUGUAAGAUUUAGCAAAAUUUCAUGAAUUAUAUUUCAAAA